CUAAAUUUUUAUAAAUACUAAUAUAAAAUGGUAUUUAUUUUAAAUGCUACUAUAUAUUUAAUUAAUAAACUAUAGUAUUUUGUAAAUUUACUAGUUCAGAGCCAUCUAUGUAUUUUCUUUCAAGCUGACUUGCUAAUUUACCUGUAAAUCCAGAGGAGGAUGAUAUCUUUGCACUUGGACUGCAAAUGAUAUCUUUAUUUACUUUAAGAGACAUCAUGUUCUCAAAUAAAGGCUGAGCAUACCUGGUAGGUAUAACAGCAAUGCUGUUGCUAAUCGCUCCAAAUAGUAUCAUAAUAAUAUACAGGUUUGAUAAAAUUAGAACAAAAAUAAAACACAGUAAACUAAGAGUUAUGUUAUUGCUGUCUGACUCCAAUUUCUGUCUCCUCUACAAAAUUUAUUCUUGUUUUUAAAAAUAAUUGUCAUUUAGUCAUAGUUCUUGGUGAAUCUGGCCACUGAGCACCUCCCUCUCUUGUGUCUCUGAUAAGCUCUAUUUCCUACCUAUCUCUACCCACAAACCAACCAAACCAACUUCUGUAGUUAAAUACCCAGAGACUCCAACCCGUUCUCUCAUCCCCGUACUCCUUCCAAUAGUCCGCACUCCCACAUACCUCAGUCUUCUCCCCAUGGCCUCAUUUUCUCCAAUCUUCUCUCCCUCACUCCCCAUCCUCUUUCUCCUGCUCCUCCUCCUCGCUCCAUCCAUCGCCGAGGAUGGCUUCGAGAUGGGGGAGGAGAUGAAGACACACCUGCACUUCUUCUUUCACGACAUCGUGACCGGGCCGAGCCCGACCGCCAUGAGGGUCGCCGAAUCCAAAAUCACAAACACCUCGCCGACGGGGUUCGGCGCGGUGGUGAUGAUGGACGACCCUCUGACGGAGGGUCCGGAGUCCGAUUCGAAGAUCGUCGGCCAUGCGCAGGGGAUGUACGCAUUGGCGUCCCUCGACGAGGUCGGCCACCUGCUCAUGGCCAUGAACCUCGCCUUCGUGGACGGUGAGUUCAACGGCAGCACGAUCACGGUGAUGGGGCGCAACUCGGUGUUCAACGAUGUGAGGGAGAUGCCGGUCGUCGGUGGGAGCGGCAAGUUCCGGUUCGCCAGGGGCUACGCCCUCGCCAGGACACACACCUUGGAGAUGCUCACCGGGAAUGCGGUGGUGGAGUAUGACGUCUAUGUCUUGCACCACUGAAGCGCUACUGCUCGCUGAUCGGUUCGGUUUGUGCGGUCACAGUCGCUGCUACCGGUGUUGCCACUCACUGAACGAGAGAUCAUCAUGUCCGUGAACUGCACAAGCUGGAUAGAACGAGAGAUCAUCAUGUCCGUGAACUGCACAAGCUGGAUAGAACGAGAGAUCAUCAUGUCCGUGAACUGCACAAGCUGGAAUUUGGGUAAUUUGGUUAUAUUCAUUUGGCCUUGCCUUGGUCUCACUGAGGUG